GACGAAGGACCCGAGCGUUAUCCGGAUUCAUUGGGUUUAAAGGGUGCGUAGGCGGAUUGAUAAGUCAGUGGUGAAAUCUCCGGGCUCAACCCGGAAACUGCCAUUGAUACUGUCGAUCUUGAAUUUGGUUGAUGUGGGCGGAAUAUGACAUGUAGCGGUGAAAUGCUUAGAUAUGUCAUAGAACACCGAUUGCGAAGGCAGCUCACAAAGCCAAUAUUGACGCUGAGGCACGAAAGUGCGGGGAUCAAACAGG
rnacentral:rRNA from 1 species